UGCAAGUCGAACGCCCCGCAAGGGGAGUGGCAGACGGGUGAGUAACGCGUGGGAACAUACCCUUUCCUGCGGAAUAGCUCCGGGAAACUGGAAUUAAUACCGCAUACGCCCUACGGGGGAAAGAUUUAUCGGGGAAGGAUUGGCCCGCGUUGGAUUAGCUAGUUGGUGGGGUAAAGGCCUACCAAGGCGACGAUCCAUAGCUGGUCUGAGAGGAUGAUCAGCCACAUUGGGACUGAGACACGGCCCAAACUCCUACGGGAGGCAGCAGUGGGGAAUAUUGGACAAUGGGCGCAAGCCUGAUCCAGCCAUGCCGCGUGAGUGAUGAAGGCCUUAGGGUUGUAAAGCUCUUUCACCGGAGAAGAUAAUGACGGUAUCCGGAGAAGAAGCCCCGGCUAACUUCGUGCCAGCAGCCGCGGUAAUACGAAGGGGGCUAGCGUUGUUCGGAAUUACUGGGCGUAAAGCGCACGUAGGCGGAUAUUUAAGUCAGGGGUGAAAUCCCAGAGCUCAACUCUGGAACUGCCUUUGAUACUGGGUAUCUUGAGUAUGGAAGAGGUAAGUGGAAUUCCGAGUGUAGAGGUGAAAUUCGUAGAUAUUCGGAGGAACACCAGUGGCGAAGGCGGCUUACUGGUCCAUUACUGACGCUGAGGUGCGAAAGCGUGGGGGAGCAAACAGGAUUAGAUACCCUGGUAGUCCACGCCGUAAACGAUGAAUGUUAGCCGUCGGGCAGUAUACUGUUCGGUGGCGCAGCUAACGCAUUAAACAUUCCGCCUGGGGAGUACGGUCGCAAGAUUAAAACUCAAAGGAAUUGACCGGGGGCCCGCACAAGCGGUGGAGCAUGUGGUUUAAUUCGAAGCAACGCGCAGAACCUUACCAGCUCUUGACAUUCGGGGUAUGGGCAUUGGAGACGAUGUCCUUCAGUUA
rnacentral:rRNA from 1 species